CCUGCCCCUAGAGGCGUUGCAGGUGUGGCUGCUGUGUCACAUGGGAGUCAGUAGGUGGCAGAGAGGAGAGAGGCUUUGUCUGUGCUAAGUGUUUUGACAUCUGAACACCUGGAUCAUUAGUAGCCUAACACU